GGAGAUGGGAGAUCAGUCUUAAAUCCAUCUCCCUGGCCACUAAAAUUAGGGGUUUAUGUAGCAGGGAAGAUGUGUAAUAAUGUGUAAGAAAGCAGGAACUAGGGAGGGGCAAGGAAGCAAUCAUGAUGAAUGAGGGCCUGGCAUCUCAUUGUCUGGAUAUGAUUAGCUGAAGAAACUGUUAGAGCACCCUGGGAUGUGUGGGCCUGGGACUGUUUGCCUUUGGCACGGCUAUGCUCCGAGCUUUGGAGGAGCCAAGGAAGAAAGGCCUAGUUCCUGAUCUUAAGGCCUUUGCAGUGUGCAUUGGGAGACAUAGACUGCAAUGAAAAGAUCAUUAUUGCAAGAGACAAAUGGCAUGGAGCCACAUUCCCAGAGACAGAGUUUCACCAUGUUGCCCAGGCUGGUCUCAAACUCCUGAGCUCAAACCAUCACCCACCUCGGCUUCCCAAAGUGCUGGGAUUACAGGCGUGAGCCACCACAUCUGACCGCGGGAGUCCUUUUACCCAAAGCCACCCAACAGACCCACGCAGAGACUUUUAACCAGCAAUCGUCUCAGUUCCCUCUGAGGCUGCCGGCUCUCCCUGUGACAGCAGCCCAUCUUAGCCCUUCCUGUGUAUCUCUGCUGCCUAAAGGAUGAGAGUUUCCUAAAGUGUAGAACUGUGAGGGGUGGAGGGACAUUCCUCUCAUGCUGGCCUGAAUCCUGCACCUACUCUGGAGGUCUUUUGCCUUGUACCAUGGAGUUCGCCUACAUCACCUUGGAGAACCGACCCAGCACCUUCCAGGCCGGCUGGAUGCAUCCCCAGGAAGGAAGCCGCUGGUGGGGCCGGUCGCACUGAGUGCGCUUGGAGAACAAAGUGCUGUGUACAUUUCUGCUCAACACUACUCUAAGCCCACAGCGCCAGUUCAGAGGCUUUGGGAAGAGCAGGUGCCUUCAUCCAGUUUCCACUGUACCUCUUCUGAGGUACAGGAGAUAGAGGUCCCUCAUUUCAAGGUGACACUGGCAUCAGUCAAGCACAGAGCUAACCAACUGCCAAUCGUAAACAAGGAAGCCAGUGAGGACGCCCAAGGAAAGGCUCAGAAAGCUUCCGCCAGGGAGUGGGAUUUGAGCUCUACCUUACAGAACAGGUUGAAAAUAAAGAGCAGAGUAAUCAAAA
rnacentral:lncRNA from 1 species